rnacentral:rRNA from 1 species
GAUGAACGCUGGCGGCGUGCCUAAUACAUGCAAGUCGAGCGAAUGGAUUAAGAGCUUGCUCUUAUGAAGUUAGCGGCGGACGGGUGAGUAACACGUGGGUAACCUGCCCAUAAGACUGGGAUAACUCCGGGAAACCGGGGCUAAUACCGGAUAAUAUUUUGAACUGCAUGGUUCAAAAUUGAAAGGCGGCUUCGGCUGUCACUUAUGGAUGGACCCGCGUCGCAUUAGCUAGUUGGAGAGGUAACGGCUCACCAAGGCAACGAUGCGUAGCCGACCUGAGAGGGUGAUCGGCCACACUGGGAAUGAGACACGGCCCAGACUCCUACGGGAGGCAGCAGUAGGGAAUCUUCCGCAAUGGACGAAAGUCUGACGGAGCAACGCCGCGUGAGUGAUGAAGGCUUUCGGGUCGUAAAACUCUGUUGUUAGGGAAGAACAAGUGCUAGUUGAAUAAGCUGGCACCUUGACGGUACCUAACCAGAAAGCCACGGCUAACUACGUGCCAGCAGCCGCCGUAA